rnacentral:rRNA from 1 species
GAUCCUGGCUCAGGAUGAACGCUAGCUACAGGCUUAACACAUGCAAGUCGAGGGGCAUCAGGAAGAAAGCUUGCUUUCUUUGCUGGCGACCGGCGCACGGGUGAGUAACACGUAUCCAACCUGCCCUUUACUCGGGAUAGCCUUUCGAAAGAAAGAUUAAUACCCGAUGGCAUAAUGAUUCCGCAUGGUUUUCAUUAUUUAAAAGGAUUCCGGUAAAGGAUGGGAUGCGUUCCAUUAGGUUGUUGGUGAGG